GACGAACGCUGGCGGCGUGCUUGACACAUGCAAGUCGAACGGAAAGGCCCUGCUUUUGUGGGGUGCUCGAGUGGCGAACGGGUGAGUAACACGUGAGUAACCUGCCCUUGACUUUGGGAUAACUUCAGGAAACUGGGGCUAAUACCGGAUAGGAGCUCCUGCUGCAUGGUGGGGGUUGGAAAGUUUCGGCGGUUGGGGAUGGACUCGCGGCCUAUCAGCUUGUUGGUGGGGUAGUGGCUUACCAAGGCUUUGACGGGUAGCCGGCCUGAGAGGGUGACCGGCCACAUUGGGACUGAGAUACGGCCCAGACUCCUACGGGAGGCAGCAGUGGGGAAUAUUGCACAAUGGGCGGAAGCCUGAUGCAGCUACGCCGCGUGCGGGAUGACGGCCUUCGGGUUGUAAACCGCUUUCGCCUGUGACGAAGCGUGAGUGACGGUAAUGGGUAAAGAAGCACCGGCUAACUACGUGCCAGCAGCCGCGGUGAUACGUAGGGUGCGAGCGUUGUCCGGAUUUAUUGGGCGUAAAGGGCUCGUAGGUGGUUGAUCGCGUCGGAAGUGUAAUCUUGGGGCUUAACCCUGAGCGUGCUUUCGAUACGGGUUGACUUGAGGAAGGUAGGGGAGAAUGGAAUUCCUGGUGGAGCGGUGGAAUGCGCAGAUAUCAGGAGGAACACCAGUGGCGAAGGCGGUUCUCUGGGCCUUUCCUGACGCUGAGGAGCGAAAGCGUGGGGAGCGAACAGGCUUAGAUACCCUGGUAGUCCACGCUGUAAACGGUGGGUACUAGGUGUGGGGUCCAUUCCACGGGUUCCGUGCCGUAGCUAACGCUUUAAGUACCCCGCCUGGGGAGUACGGCCGCAAGGCUAAAACUCAAAGGAAUUGACGGGGCCCCGCACAAGCGGCGGAGCAUGCGGAUUAAUUCGAUGCAACGCGUAGAACCUUACCUGGGUUUGACAUGGAUCGGGAGUGCUCAGAGAUGGGUGUGCCUCUUUUGGGGUCGGUUCACAGGUGGUGCAUGGCUGUCGUCAGCUCGUGUCGUGAGAUGUUGGGUUAAGUCCCGCAACGAGCGCAACCCUUGUUCACUGUUGCCAGCACGUUAUGGUGGGGACUCAGUGGAGACCGCCGGGGUCAACUCGGAGGAAGGUGGGGAUGACGUCAAGUCAUCAUGCCCCUUAUGUCCAGGGCUUCACGCAUGCUACAAUGGCUGGUACAGAGAGUGGCGAGCCUGUGAGGGUGAGCGAAUCUCGGAAAGCCGGUCUCAGUUCGGAUUGGGGUCUGCAACUCGACCUCAUGAAGUCGGAGUCGCUAGUAAUCGCAGAUCAGCAACGCUGCGGUGAAUACGUUCCCGGG
rnacentral:rRNA from 1 species